rnacentral:rRNA from 1 species
GCGCAGCAGGCGAGAAACCUCCGCAAUGCGCGAAAGCGCGACGGGGCCACCCCGAGUGCCGCCCGCUGAGGGCGGCUUUUCCCCGGUGUAGACAGCCGGGGGAAUAAGGGGAGGGCAAGUCUGGUGUCAGCCGCCGCGGUAAUACCAGCUCCCCGAGUGGUGGGGACGAUUAUUGGGCCUAAAGCGUCCGUAGCCGGCCCGGCAAGUCUCCCGUUAAAUCCAGCGAUCUAAUCGCUGGACUGCGGGAGAUACUGUCGGGCUAGGGGGCGGGAGAGGCCGGCGGUAUUCCCGGGGUAGGGGUGAAAUCCUAUAAUCCCGGGAGGACCACCAGUGGCGAAGGCUGCCGGCUGGAACGCGCCCGACGGUGAGGGACGAAAGCCGGGGGAGCGAACCGGAUUAGAUA